rnacentral:rRNA from 1 species
AUACGGAGGAUGCGAGCGUUAUCCGGAUUUAUUGGGUUUAAAGGGUGCGUAGGCUGUGCGUUAAGUCAGGGGUGAAAUGCCGUCGCUCAACGACGGAGCUGCCCUUGAUACUGGCGUGCUGGAGUACGGAUGCCGUUGGAGGAAUGAGUGGUGUAGCGGUGAAAUGCUUAGAUAUCACUCAGAACACCGAUUGCGAAGGCAUCUGACGAAUCCGUCACUGACGCUGAGGCACGAAGGCGUGGGGAUAGAACAGGAUUAGAUCCCCUGGUAUUCCACGCCGUAAACGAUGAUGACUAACCGUCGGCGAUAGACCGCCGGUGGCCAAGCGAAAGCGAUAAGUCAUCCACCUGGGGAGUACGUCGGCAACGAUGAAACUCAAAUGAAUUGACGGGG